rnacentral:misc_RNA from 1 species
GAUGAAGAACGCAGCGAAAUGCGAUAAGUAAUGUGAAUUGCAGAAUUCAGUGAAUCAUCGAAUCUUUGAACGCACAUUGCGCCCGCCAGUAUUCUGGCGGGCAUGCCUGUUCGAGCGUCAUUACAACCCUCAGGCCCCCGGGCCUGGCGUUGGGGAUCGGCGGAAGCCCCCUGCGGGCACAACGCCGUCCCCCAAAUACAGUGGCGGUCCCGCCGCAGCUUCCAUUGCGUAGUAGCUAACACCGCGCAACUGGAGAGCGGCGCGGCCACGCCGUAAAACACCCAACUUCUGAAUGUUGACCUCGAAUCAGGUAGGAAUACCCGCUGAACUUAAGCAUAUCAAUAAGCGGAGGA